rnacentral:rRNA from 1 species
CAGCCGCCGCGGUAAUACGAAGGGUGCAAGCGUUACUCGGAAUUACUGGGCGUAAAGCGUGCGUAGGUGGUCGUUUAAGUCCGUUGUGAAAGCCCUGGGCUCAACCUGGGAACUGCAGUGGAUACUGGGCGACUAGAAUGUGGUAGAGGGUAGCGGAAUUCCUGGUGUAGCAGUGAAAUGCGUAGAGAUCAGGAGGAACAUCCAUGGCGAAGGCAGCUACCUGGACCAACAUUGACACUGAGGCACGAAAGCGUGGGGAGCAAACAGGAUUAGAUACCCUGGUAGUCCACGCCCUAAACGAUGCGAACUGGAUGUUGGGUGCAAUUUGGCACGCAGUAUCGAAGCUAACGCGUUAAGUUCGCCGCCUGGGGAGUACGGCCGCAAGGUUGAAACUUAAAGGAAUUGGCGGG